rnacentral:lncRNA from 1 species
UAUUCCACAAAUCCCGAAUUAGUAAGUGGUGUGGACAUGGAACACUCUGAGGCAGUAGUGGGAGUGAAGGGUGAAACCUCUGAGGCAUUAGGAGGGGUAGAAGUUGAACACUCUGAAGCUUGAAGUGGAAUUGGUGAAACUACAGUAUUAUGAGAAUUGACUAAUGAAGGAAGAACUUGAGGUUGUACUUGUAGUGAAGUGGAUGUAAUGUGGGUUGAUGCACUGUUGGAUGUAAUGAUGGAAGAAUAAGGAAAUGUAGUCUCAUCAAAUAAAACAUGUCUAGACACAUAGAU